GAUCCUGGCUCAGGAUGAACGCUAGCUACAGGCUUAACACAUGCAAGUCGAGGGGGCAGCAUUUUUAAUUUUGCUUGCAAACUAAAAGAUGGCGACCGGCGCACGGGUGAGUAACACGUAUCCAACCUGCCGAUAACUCAGGGAUAGCCUUUCGAAAGAAAGAUUAAUACCUGAUGGCAUAGGAUUAUCGCAUGAUAAUCCUAUUAAAGAAUUUCGGUUAUCGAUGGGGAUGCGUUCCAUUAGG
rnacentral:rRNA from 1 species